rnacentral:rRNA from 1 species
GACGAACCGUGCGAACGUUGUCCGGAUUUAUUGGGCGUAAAGAGCGUGUAGGCGGCCAGUCAGGUCCGUUGUGAAAACUCGAGGCUCAACCUCGAGACGCCGAUGGAAACCGACUGGCUAGAGUCCGGAAGAGGAGAGUGGAAUUCUCGGUGUAGCGGUGAAAUGCGCAGAUAUCGGGAAGAACACCCGUGGCUAAGGCGGCUCUCUAGUACGGUACUGACGCUGAGACGCGAAAGCGUGGGGAGCGAACAGG